rfam:Triticum aestivum genome assembly, contig: Triticum_aestivum_CS42_TGACv1_scaffold_146887_2BS
UUUCUACAACCUCCGCCCAGAAUUAGGUGACUCAGAUUUGUCUAGAUACAGAUGUAUCUAGACACAUUUUAGCGUUAGAUACAUCUGUAUCUAGACGAAUCUAGGUCAACUAAUUUGGGACGGAGGGAGUAUUUU